GUCAAUGGUCAUGCUACCCUGAACAAACUUGAUCCCAUCUGAUCUUAGAAGUUAAGCAGGGUCGGGUCUGGUUAGUACUUGGAUGGGAGACCACCUAGGAAGACCUAGAGCUGUAGGCA
rnacentral:rRNA from 1 species